rnacentral:rRNA from 1 species
UACGGAGGGGGUUAGCGUUGUUCGGAAUUACUGGGCGUAAAGCGCGCGUAGGCGGAUUGGAAAGUUGGGGGUGAAAGCCCAGGGCUCAACCCUGGAAUUGCCUUCAAAACUCCCAGUCUUGAGGUCGAGAGAGGUGAGUGGAAUUCCGAGUGUAGAGGUGAAAUUCGUAGAUAUUCGGAGGAACACCAGUGGCGAAGGCGGCUCACUGGCUCGAUACUGACGCUGAGGUGCGAAAGCGUGGGGAGCAAACAGG